rnacentral:lncRNA from 1 species
UCAUGCAUGGACUAUGGCGGAUCGACGCAUGCGGCAAGCGGCAUGCAUGUGUGUUGCAACUUGAAAGCAAGGAAAGGUAGAUAUAGCCUUACUAGGGUUUCCGAUUUGAUUUUUCCUUACUACUAAUUGAUCAAGCUAUCUUAAUUAGAUAUAUUUUUCUUGUAUUUCUUGUUGGAGUUUGGCUUUGGGGUAAUGUCGUGGUAUUGGGAAUAUUUAGGCCUUGGCAGGGACUUCAGAUUUGAUUUCAGUUCAGUCGUUUGCAUCCACAAGUGGGUGCAUGAUAACUGAACUGACUUGUAUAUAUAUCACAUUAUUAUUUCUUUAUCUUUUUGUACAUACUACUACCUUUUGAAAAUGCUUUUAGAAAGAGAGCAUAUAUAACCUAUGAAAGAUAUACUUGCAUGUAUAUAUACUCCUUUUUCAGAAGUACUUCAAAAACUUCAGUCUAUAUUUCUUUUGUUUUUCACUUCGGAUCGAUCUAAUUUUGCUGUCUGAAAAGAGGUAAUUUAUUAUAUAUGUUGAUUUAAAUUUACCUCCCUAAUCCUUUUCAACCGCAGUUAUACACUUCCUGGGAUGUAAUUCUACAAUGUGCAGUUUUGCGUGGUUGAGGUUUAAACACAUAUAUGUUGCGUGUGAUAAUUGUACCCAAACGCAAAAACUGAACUGGGCAUCUUCAUUAUUUACUUUACAAUAUAGCUAUGACGAUUUGCUGUUUAAUAUACUCAUGCAAUAUUUAAGUAGUUUGUUUCAACUUUAUCCUUCACAUUUACUCUGAGAGUUCAAGCACAUGUAAAGUGUGUUACUCCAUCUGUUUCUUUUUGAGCACUGCUAUCUGCACGACACUUACCACACGAAUUACACACGACACCCACCAUCCCACCAUCCAAGCCCAACGCCGAACAGCACCAACCGGUUGGAUCACACAUCGUUCCAGUGUCGUUCAGUAAAAAUGGUGUGUGAAGUACUUUCAUUUCUUUUUACUAGGCGUAUUAAAUUUGUCUAAAAACUUUAUAAAGUUUGAUCAAGUUUCCAUCUACAAUACUAAAUGAAUAUAAUAUAAAGUUUGACCGUUUGCCAGGGAUUGAAGUCCUACAUAGAAUUAUAAACAUGCAUGUAUUUGACCAGGUCACAUAUGUGUAUGUUGGUAUACAAUUGUAACCCGAGAUCCACGGUGAAUUAAACUAUUUCAAGUGAAAUUCCUACGAAAUAUUUACAUGGACUUUUAGUUCCAAAUAUCCAGGUGUUUAGAUGGCUUGUUAAGGGUGUUCAAAUUAUUACACAACAUUUUCACCUAUUUUCACCUAUCCUGUCAACAAUUUUAUUUUAUUUUCUUGUUCUUUUGUCAAACUAAUUUUAUAAUUUCUUACUUAAUUAAUUAGGUUCAAAUAUUCCGCCACGGUAUAUAAGUACAAACUGCAUGUUACAAGAUGACUAAAUCAUGCGUGUUUUAUGCAAUGAUCUACUGAUAGAAACUACUACCUCCGUCUCGGUGAAUAAGUCAUUCGCGUAGUUCUAGGUUGAUGAUUUAACUAUUUAAAUAUGUAUUAUAUGUGACAAAAAAUAUAUAUUUAGAAACUACAUCCUCGUAGAAAUCUAGUGAUGUACUUUUCAUAACAUAUAACACAUAUUUAAUUGCUCAAAUCGAUGACCUAGAACUACGCGAAUGACUUAUUCACCUGGACGGAGGUAGUACUUUGUUUGUGUUUAUUGUUAAAACAUAGAUUAUUAAUUAUAGUGUAAUGUCAUCACAAUUGUUUGGCCAGAAAGGAUUAUAUAUAGGAGUACUACUAGUACUAUACUUUUGAACCCAGAAGAGACCCAAGCGCCAUAAACUAGCAAACCUUCUGAACAACUGGAGUGCUCAACCGUGCGUUUGAAUGGUGACCCAGGAGAGCUUGUGAAUGGCGAUGACUCAAUACCUUGUCUCUCGUGAACUUUAUUUGAGUGCAAGUGUAGUACAUGCAUGGAGCUGGGAAAACACACUGGUCUUGGGAAAUGGGAGUUGUACGCACUUUAUUAAGUGUAGUAGCUUUGGAGGUUGGAAGUUGGGACGUGGACUUGGGAGUACUUGCAAGUUUCUACUACUCCUCGACAGCAUUGGAAUAUCUCAAAGCGAGUUUAUUCCGCAGAAAAAUUUCCGUUAACAAAAUUGGAUAGCACAUCGUUUGGCUAAUUAUAGUCAAUAUGAAUGUACUACUAUAUGGCUACACCAUGGUCCUUCAUGUAUUAAGGCACUACUGCCACUAGACUGUAACCCUAUCAUUAUGGAAUAAACUCAUAUUUACCAAAAAAAAA